UGUUGUUGUUACUGUAGUAAUUCUUUUAUUGUUGAUGCUCUUGCCCCUGUUGAAAUCCCAGGAAGUAAAAUGCAAUGAAAGUGAUAAACUCAGAGUGAGCAAGAGUAAAAACAAAAACAUCGCGAUAUUUUCCAUAGCCGGAAUUCAAACCCAGCCUUUUAAAUUAGAAGCUAUAUGUGCUAGCUUCUUUUACUGUCAAGACUCUAUCAAUGAAAAAAAGGUGGUACCAUAUGGAAGCAGCAGAGAGCAAACUUUGGUAAUACAGUAGUAAGAAGAAAAGUGAUGCAAUGUGUUGUGGCGACGCGUCAUGAUGCACUUUGUGUACUUAAUGGUGAUUGGCUAGAGUUAAUUCAGAAAUAGUGC
rnacentral:lncRNA from 1 species